UACGUAGGCAGCAAGCGUUGUUCGGAAUUACUGGGCGUAAAGAGUGUGUAGGCGGUGCUCUAAGUUCGGUGUGAAAUCUCCCGCUUAACUGGGAGGGUGCGCCGGAAACUGGAGUGCUCGAGCGUGGGAGAGGAAAGCGGAAUUCCUGGUGUAGCGGUGAAAUGCGUAGAUAUCAGGAGGAACACCUGUGGUGUAGACAGCUUUCUGGACCACAAGCUGACGCUGAGACACGAAAGCGUGGGUAGCAAACAGG
rnacentral:rRNA from 1 species